AUUUUUAUUCUAGUGGAUGAGUAACAAAUAAAGAAAAGGGUGAGACUAAAUAAAAGUUACAAUUUCUUUCUUUAUUUAAUACUUUAAAUGACAUUUAGACACAUUCUCUCCCAAGCUGCACAGAAAAAUAACAACUUCAGUUCAACCAUUGACAUGUACUUCAAUGUAAGUCAAAAGUGCAUUCUGUGUAUGUAUAUGUGUAUGUAUUUUUAUCUGACAGUGAGGAAUUAUUUACAACUUUUAUUUAUAUAUUUAAUAUUUUAUUUUAAUUGGAUUUUUAAAACUCUUGUUUGGCAUCAGGCUAUGGCUUGAGGUCACAUAAAGUGCUUCCAGCCAAGCAUCUUAAUCUAUUUUUGAUACCUUCCAUUCCAAAUGUGAAAAGAAAUAAUCUACAUAUGCUCAGAUUUUCUUUUUCUUUUACCCUUGUUUUGUUGAAUCUACUGAAGUGGAAUUUAGUCAUUCUUUUCCAAAUUAUAGAAAAUAUUCAGAAAUUACUGAUAUAUCAAAGCUUCAUCCAUGGCGUUGCAUAGAUACUGGUCAGGAAUUAAACCAUCUGGACUGAUCUGACCUAGGGAAAGAGUAGCUGAGCUUUUAGAUCUCCACUUAAUUCCAUGCCUUCCAGUGAGAUUCACUUCUGUUUGUGCCUGUUUCUGCACCUUUGAAUUUACAAACCGUGGGCAUCCUUUAAAUGCAUCUGACUCAAGCUCCAGUAGCCCCGAGGAAAAGCUUAGUACCCUGCAGUGCUGAGCUGGUCAAUGUGACAUUUUUCAACAUCUGGUCUGGAACAUUUUAAGGACUAUAAGUAAUUAGAUUAGCUUUUUCAUCCAACUUGCUUUUUGAUUUAUAUGCUGUGACAAAAUGUCCUCAGCAGGUUUUAUUUUUUUUUUCUCCUGGUGAUCUGUACUCACCAAAUAUACAGUAGGACUAAGAACUCCAGGUUGAUGACUGAACUAUGCCAUCCUGGGAAAGCAGAGGCUUUGUGUGCAACGAUUUCCUACAGCACAGGAGUGAAGAUGAGCGAGUGAACUGCAGCACCUCCAUCACCUGAGUCCCCACUGUCAGCCCACAAGGUAACAGCAAGGUGCUGCUCACGAUAAAAUCUGCAGAAAUAACUUCAGAUGCUCUAAAAGUGGUCAAUAUUUAUAAACCUAAAGAUAUAAAAAUGAAAUAAUACUUUUAGCGUAGAGAAUAUGUUGCUAAUGAUGCUGAGAUUGGUACCCUAGCACUGCAGUGAUGUUUAAUGUGGAAUGAGCUUGUGGUAUAACACCAGUGCUUUUCAGUAGUUUAAAAAUUAAAUUUUAAAUUAAAAAUGCUAGCAACGUAUGUCAAAUAAAUUUCAAGCAGUUUUUUGUUUAGAGGCCUAUAAUGCGAUCAAUGACUUACAGCUAGUUUCUGGGACAUCUUCACAGAUGAGGAAUUAUUGGUUGAGCACCAUGCACAUGUAUUGGGGAGUAAUACUUAUUAUAUAUAUAAAUAACUAUUACACAAGAUGUUAUUUCUUAAGUCUUGUUUGCCUCUAGUAUAAGCUGAAUUACAAACAACAAUGCAUAGGAAAAAGCAGGGAAGGAGGGGUAAUUGUCAUGCCAGGGCAAUCACUUACUAUGAGAAACCUAAAGUGACACCGUUAGAGGUGUAAAGGCAUGAAAAUUACAAGGAUGACAGUAGGAGAAUGACAUGGAAGGAAAAAAACACAAAACCUCACAGAAAUUUAGGCAAAAGAUUACAGAGCCGUAAGUGAAAGAUGAACGGUAGGGUUGCAAAUCUGAGUCUUUAGCAUCACAAAGGUUAAGGCACAGAGUGACAGGGGGAACUUCAGGUAUUUCGUGGGACAUUCAUUAUUCCUGAAAGAGAGAGACACAAUCAAUAGAAAAAUAAAGAGACCUCUUGUAACUUGACAAGGUUUUACAAGUUCCCUUAAUUGCUCUGUUUCUUCCCCUUGCAUCUUUCAGAGCAAUAAUAAUUCCUGGCUCUACAUACCAAAGACAAGAAGCCAGCUUGACAGCUUCAGAGGAAUUUGGAUUUCAACUUAGAACUCCCCCAGGGACAGCAAGAACUGCUGCAGGAAAGGGAGUAAAUAUUAGGUGUAUGGCAGAUAUGCCAACCACUGUUGUUGAUGGAUGUGGAAGUGUAACCUCUUUGAGGAUAUUUAGAACCAAAGUAAUGCUGUGCUUUUUAGGUCUUGCUGAGCCUGAGAUAAUUUCAUGGCCAUUGUCUGCUGUCAUGCAAACUGUCACUGAAUGAGUGAGUGUUCCAGAUGCUUGGUCAGCCAAAGUGCUAACUAAUUUUAUCCACUUCCGUGUCAGUGCUUUCCUUCCUGAAUUCUGGAGCAAUUAGAGAUACUGUCUCAACCAUGUUACCUCUGUCUUCAAUUUUAUCAUCCUCUUCUGUUCUACACACUUUUCACUGUUCUUUUUCAAAACUCAGCAAUUUCCUCCACAGUCAAAGCCAAAGUUAUACAGCUGGGCCAUGUUAGUGGCUUUCCAUUAUUGGCACCCAGGUAACCAAGUCCUGGGACAGGUUACAGAAAGCUAAAGAGAGACCUAGAUUGUCUACCAUUUCAUGUUCCGCAUCAGCAUAAGAUAAAUGAAACAAGGAAUAGAAACUACAGCACAGACUUUACUGUAUGCUGAAAUUUCUCUCCAGAAAAUCUUUUAAAUGUUAUUUUAAAGAACUUCUGAGGUAAGUAGCUUGAGUUUUUCUUUGCUCCUCCCAAAUAGGAUUGUUGCUGUUACUCAGAUAGCUCUGUGCUUGUCAGAUGAUCCUGAAGUAGAGGUGCAAAAUGUUUGAAAAGCUAAGGAAGAAUCCCUGCAAUGAGUUUGUCUUUACUUGUUGACCAGUAUCCAUUCAUAAACACAAUGGCCCCUUGCAUUGUCCCUGCACAGGCUAGAUCAUUAUAAAACUUACGGUAAUGUCUCUUAUUUUUCAAAAUUUUCUAUGGAAGUGAGCAAUAUUUUAAACCUUACAUAAACC
ensembl:lncRNA